rnacentral:rRNA from 1 species
UACAGAGGUCCCGAGCGUUAGGCGGAAUCACUGGGCUUAAAGCGUGUGUAGGUGGAUCGUUAAGUACCUUGUGAAAUCCCACGGCUUAACCGUGGAACUGCUUGGUAUACUGGCGGUCUUGAGCCAGCUAGGGGCUACCGGAACAAAUGGUGGAGCGGUGAAAUGCGUAGAUAUCAUUUGGAACGCUAAUGGUGAAAACAGGUAGCUAGGGCUGUGCUGACACUGAGACACGAAAGCCAGGGGAGCAAACGGG